rnacentral:rRNA from 1 species
UACGAAGGGGGCUAGCGUUGUUCGGAAUUACUGGGCGUAAAGCGCACGUAGGCGGAUCGAUCAGUCAGGGGUGAAAUCCCGGGGCUCAACUCCGGAACUGCCUUUGAUACUGGCAAUCUUGAGACUGGAAGAGGUUAGUGGAAUUCCCAGUGUAGAGGUGAAAUUCGUAGAUAUUGGGAAGAACACCAGUGGCGAAGGCGGCUAACUGGUCCAGUACUGACGCUGAGGUGCGAAAGCGUGGGGAGCAAACAGGG